UACGAAGGGAGCUAGCGUUGUUCGGAAUCACUGGGCGUAAAGCGCACGUAGGCGGAUGUGUCAGUCAGGGGUGAAAUCCCGGAGCUCAACUUCGGAACUGCCUUUGAUACAUCACGUCUUGAGUCCGGAAGAGGUGGGUGGAAUUCCUAGUGUAGAGGUGAAAUUCGUAGAUAUUAGGAAGAACACCGGUGGCGAAGGCGGCCCACUGGUCCGGUACUGACGCUGAGGUGCGAAAGCGUGGGGAGCAAACAGG
rnacentral:rRNA from 1 species